rnacentral:rRNA from 1 species
AUGACUCCCGUCCUCGUUGUUUUCACCAUGCUCUUGUGCCUACACACCUCAGCGAGUUCUGCCGUGACAGACACCAUCUUGCCCGGCCAAGCACUUGGCGUCGACAACAAGCUCAUCUCCAGCAAUGGCAGGUACGCGCUUGGCUUCUUCCAGAUUGGACACACCGCCAACUGGUACCUUGGCAUAUGGUUCAACACGGUACCGAAAUUCACUUCAGCAUGGGUUGCAAAUAGGGAUAAGCCAAUCAGGAACACCACCUCACUGGAGCUCACGAUCUCCCACGAUGGCAACCUUGUCGUCGUAAACCGGUCCACCAAGUCCGCGAUCUGGACUACACAAGCAAACAUCAAAAGAAAUAGCACCACUGCUGCUAUGCUGUUGAGUAGUGGAAAUCUUGUACUGACAGACUCUUCAAACUCAACAAAGGUUUUGUGGCAGAGCUUUGACCACCCCACAGAUACAUUUUUUCCUGGGGCGAAGCUCGGAUGGGACAAGGUCACCGGCCUGAAGCGCCGUUUUGUAUCUUGGAAAAACUUGGUCAACCCGGCUACCGGUGCGUACUGUGAACAAUUAGACCCCAGUGGUGUUGACCAGUUAUUGCUUCUGGCACUGAACUCAUCCAUACCAUAUUGGUCCACCGGUGUAUGGAACGGCAAAUAUUUCGCUGCACUUCCAGAGAUGUCAGCCCGCCACUCUAUUAGUCCAAAAUUUGUCGACAAUGACAAAGAGAAGUACUUGACGUAUAAUUUAGUAGCUGAAUAUAUGGAUCCAAAUAUGGUCACUCGUCAUGUCAUUGACGUCUCAGGUCAAGCGAAGACAUUCAUUUGGAUGAAGGGCUCAGAGGAUUGGGUAAUGAUCAAUGCCCAACCAAGAGCUCAGUGUGAUGUCCAUGCAAUUUGUGGACCUUUCACAAUUUGCACUGAUAAUAAAGUUCCACACUGCAACUGUAUGGAGGGCUUCACCAUAACAUCCCCAAAGGACUGGGAGCUAGAAAAUCGAGCGGGUGGGUGCUCGAGAAAUACUCAGUUAGACUGCAUUAGCAACAAAAGCACAACACAUACCACAGACAAGUUCUAUUCUGUACCAUGUGUUAAGUUGCCCCAGAAUGCCCCAAAAGUAGAAGCUGCUGCAAGCGCGAGUGACUGCGCACAGAUUUGCCUGAGUAAUUGCUCUUGCAGUGCAUACUCCUUCAGCGACAACAGAUGCUCUAUGUGGCAUAAUGAAUUGCUCAACAUAAGACAACUACAAUGUAGUGACACCACCAAUUCAAAUGGAGAAAUUCUUUAUCUUCGUCUUUCUGCUAAAGAUGUACAAAGUCUGAAAAACAACAGAAGAGGGAUAGUUGCUGGAAUUGUAAUUGGUACAGGUAUUUCGACUCUAGGCUUAUUUGCACUUGUCCUCCUACUAAUGAUUUGGAGAAACAAAAACAAGAGAUCUGGUCAAAUACGGAAUGAGUCUGAAGUUUGUGAUGGAAUCACUGCAUUUAGAUACAAUGAUCUUCAACGAGCAACAAAUUCUUUUGCAGAUAAGUUGGGGGGAGGCAGUUUUGGUUCUGUAUUCAAGGGGUUUAUAAAGGGCUCCAAUGCCAUAGCAGUGAAGAGGCUUGAUGGUGCUUAUCAAGGAGAGAAGCAAUUCAGAGCUGAAGUGAGCUCAAUUGGAGCUGUCCAGCACAUCAAUUUAGUUAAGCUUGUUGGUUUCUGUUGUGAGGGUUCUAAGAGGUUGCUUGUUUAUGAAUACAUGUCAAAUCGCUCUCUUGAUGUCCAUUUAUUUGGAAGCAACUCAAUGUUGAACUGGACUGCUAGGUAUGAAAUCGGCCUAGGUGUUGCAAGAGGGUUGGCCUACUUGCAUGACAGUUGUCGAGACCGCGUCAUACACUGUGAUAUCAAGCCAGAAAACAUACUUCUUGAUGCUUCACUCCUUCCAAAAAUUGCAGACUUUGGGAUGGCAAAGCUUUUAGGAAGGGAUUAUAGCCGAGUAUUAACAACAAUGAGAGGAACAACAGGGUACCUUGCGCCUGAAUGGCUUACCGGUGUUCCUAUUACACCAAAAGUCGAUGUUUUUAGCUACGGGAUGGUGUUGCUGGAAAUAAUAUCUGGAAGGAGGAACUCAUGUCCGACAGUUCCUAGCGGUGGCAACACUGAUGUUUACUUUCCUGUGCAUGCCGCACAUAAGCUUCUUGAAGGAGAUGUCGGGAGUUUGGUAGAUCACAAGCUACAUGGUAUUGCCAAUCUAGAUGAGCUUGAAAUUGCUUGCAAGGUUGCGUGUUGGUGCCUCCAAGACAAUGAGCUUGAUCGGCCAACAAUGGGACAGGUGGUUCAGAUUCUGCAAGGGCUAGUUGAGAUCACAAUGCCCCCGAUACCAAGACUGCUCCAAGCUAUGGCUGGAAGCUCGCAUUCAACAUGCUCCUUUUUUGUUUCAGGAAAACGAGCUGCAUUGCAUGUCUAG